rnacentral:rRNA from 1 species
UAGUCCACGCCCUAAACGAUGUCUACUAGCCGUUGGGGAACGUGAGUCCUUGGUGGCGCAGCUAACGCACUAAGUAGACCGCCUGGGGAGUACGGCCGCAAGGUUAAAACUCAAAUGAAUUGACGGGGGCCCGCACAAGCGGUGGAGCAUGUGGUUUAAUUCGAUGCAACGCGAAGAACCUUACCAGGUCUUGACAUCCUUGGAAUCUUGCAGAGAUGCGAGAGUGCCUUCGGGAAUCAAGUGACAGGUGUUGCAUGGCUGUCGUCAGCUCGUGUCGUGAGAUGUUGGGUUAAGUCCCGUAACGAGCGCAACCCUUGUCCUUAGUUGCCAGCACGUCAUGGUGGGAACUCUAAGGAGACUGCCGGUGACAAACCGGGAGGAAGGUGGGGGACGACGUCAAGUCAUCAUGGCCCUUACGGGCCUGGGGCUACACACGUGCUACAAUGGAACGCACAGAGGGGCAGCAAACCCGG